rnacentral:rRNA from 1 species
UACGUAGGGUGCGAGCGUUGUCCGGAAUUAUUGGGCGUAAAGAGCUUGUAGGCGGUCUGUCGCGUCUGCUGUGAAAAUCCGGGGCUCAACCCCGGACUUGCAGUGGGUACGGGCAGACUAGAGGUGUGGUAGGGGAGACUGGAAAUUCCUGGUGUAGCGGUGAAAUGCGCAGAUAUCAGGAGGAACACCGAUGGCGAAGGCAGGUCUCUGGGC